rnacentral:rRNA from 1 species
AGCAGCCGCGGUAAUUCCAGCUCCAAUAGCGUAUAUUAAAGUUGUUGCAGUUAAAAAGCUCGUAGUUGAAUUUCGGGAUCAGUAUGUUGGUCGUGCUUCGGUACGUACUGCCAUUACUGGUUUCUACCUUCUGAAGAACCUUGAUGUCAUUAAUUUGGUGUCUUGGGGAAUCAGGACUGUUACUUUGAAAAAAUUAGAGUGUUUAAAGCAAGCAUACGCUUGAAUACAUUAGCAUGGAAUAAUGAAAUAGGACGUUUGAUUCUAUUUUGUUGGUUUCUAGGAUCGACGUAAUGAUUAAUAGGGAUAGUUGGGGGCAUUAGUAUUCAAUUGUCAGAGGUGAAAUUCUUGGAUUUAUUGAAGACUAACUACUGCGAAAGCAUUUGCCAAGGAUGUUUUCAUUAAUCAAGAACGAAAGUUAGGGGAUCGAAGACGAUCAGAUACCGUCGUAGUCUUAACCAUAAACUAUGCCGACUAGGGAUCGGAUGAUGUUAUUUUUAAUGACUCAUUCGGCGUCCG